rnacentral:rRNA from 1 species
UUGAGAGAACUAUUGUUAAGGAACUCGGCAAAAUGACCCCGUAACUUAGGGAGAAGGGGUGCCUGUCUAUGACAGGCCGCAGAGAAUAGGCCCAAGCGACUGUUUACCAAAAACACAGGUUUCUGCUAAGUCGCAAGACGAUGUAUAGGAGCUGACGCCUGCCCGGUGCUGGAAGGUUAAGGGGAUCUGUUAGAGCAAUCGAAGCAGUGAACUUAAGCCCCAGUAAACGGCGGCCGUAACUAUAACGGUCCUAAGGUAGCGAAAUUCCUUGUCGGGUAAGUUCCGACCCGCACGAAAGGCGUAACGAUUUGGGCACUGUCUCAACAAUAGACUCGGUGAAAUUGUAAUCCCGGUGAAGAUGCCGGGUACCUGCGACAGGACGGAAAGACCCCAUGGAGCUUUACUGUAGCUUGACGUUGGGUCUUGGUACUACAUAUACAGGAUAGGUGGGAGACUAUGAAGCAUGGACGCCAGUCUGUGUGGAGUCAUCCUUGGGAUACCACCCUUGUAGUACUGGGAUCCUAACCAUAGGCCUUGAAUCAGGUCUUGGAACACCGUCAGGUGGGCAGUUUGACUGGGGCGGUCGCCUCCUAAAAAGUAACGGAGGCGCUCAAAGGUUUCCUCAGCACGGUCGGAAAUCGUGCGAAGAGUGAAAAGGCAAAAGGAAGCUUGAUUGCAAGACAUACAGGUCGAGCAAGGACGAAAGUCGGACUUAGUGAUCCGGUGGUACCGCAUGGAAGGGCCAUCGCUCAACGGAUAAAAGCUACCCUGGGGAUAACAGGCUUAUCUCCCCCAAGAGUCCACAUCGACGGGGAGGUUUGGCACCUCGAUGUCGGCUCAUCACAUCCUGGGGCUGUAGUAGGUCCCAAGGGUUGGGCUGUUCGCCCAUUAAAGUGGUACGCGAGCUGGGUUCAGAACGUCGUGAGACAGUUCGGUCCCUAUCCGUCGCAGGCGUAGGAAAUUUGAGAAGACCUGUCCUUAGUACGAGAGGACCGGGAUGGACGUACCUCUGGUGUACCAGUUGUUCUGCCAAGGGCAUGGCUGGGUAGCUAUGUACGGAAUGGAUAAGCGCUGAAAGCAUCUAAGCGCGAAGCCAACUUCAAGAUAAGAUUUCCCACCGUAAGGGUAAGACCCCAGGAAGACUACCUGGUUGAUAGGUCGAAGGUGUAAGUGCAGUAAUGUAUUUAGCUUAUCGAUACUAAUAGGUCGAGGACUUGACCG